rnacentral:rRNA from 1 species
AUGGGGGGCUCGCACAGCCGGGAGGACCACGACCUCUCCGACUCCGACGACGACGACACCUCCUCCCGCGCCUCCGACGCCUCCUCCGACUUCUCCACCCCUCCCCCCGCCUCCGCCUCCGCCUCCAGAGCCGCCAGAGCGGCGACCCCGGCCUCCGUCGUCGACGACAUCGACCACCACCUCCGCAACCUCCAACUCAAGUACUCCGAGCCCAUCUCCCCGAACCCUAGCCCCGCCCCCAACCCCGGCGCCUCCGCCUCCGCUUCCGCCGUCAAUGCGGUCAAGCUGUACCUCCACAUAGGCGGCUCCACGGCCGCCGCCCGCUGGGUGAACUCCGAGCGCCUCGCCGCCGUGUCCUUCGUCCGCUCAGGCGAGGGCGCCUCCGACCCCGACGAGGACGACGAGCCCACCGGGCCGUGGUUCCUCGUCGUGGGCUCCAAGAUCCGGGCCAAGGUCGGGCCCGAGCUGCAGCUCAAGACCUUCCCCUUGCAGCGGCGCGUCGACUUCGUGGCCGACGGCGUCUGGGCGCUCAAGUUCCUGCACGCCGACGGCUACGGCCACUUCAACGCCAAGUACCAGAGCUGCCUGUUCGAGAACAGCUACGGCGUCGAGGCCACCGACGAGGGCCGCGCCAAGGUGUUUGGGAAGGAGUUUGCUGCGUGGGCGCGCCCAGAGUGUGGCGAUGAGUCCAUCUGGGAGGACGCCAGUGAUGCUUUCUCGCCAGCCCCCAAGGGCAGCCCGAUGCCUGCACGGAGCCCGAUGUUGAGACCUCUGAUGGAGGAUUUCAGGGAAUUUGAGGAGCCUGUGGAGGAGGGUGAUGGUAACAUACAGAGCCUUGCGCUGGGCGCUCUUGACAACAGCUUCCUUGUUGGUGAUUCAGGCAUUCACGUGGUCAAGAACUUUGAGCACGGCAUACACGGGAAGGGUGUCUCUGUGAAGAUCUCUGGAGGGGGAACAAACUUCACCACACCAAAGAAAGCACUUCUGAUGCGUGCUGAGACUAACAUGCUCCUGAUGAGCCCAGCAACUGAUGGGAAGCCACAUGCCAAGGGGGUGCAUCAGCUUGACAUUGAGACAGGGAAGGUGGUCUCACAAUGGAAGUUCGGGAAGGAUGGAGCUGACAUUAACAUGAGGGAUAUCACUAAUGAUAGCAAGGGCGCACAGAUGGAUGCGUCUGAAUCCACAUUCCUGGGACUAGAUGACAACCGGUUGUGCCGGUGGGAUAUGAGGGAUAGACAUGGAAUAGUGCAGAACUUGGCUAGUUCAAUGGAGUCCCCAGUGUUGGAAUGGACCCAGGGGCAUCAGUUCUCCAGGGGAACAAACUUCCAGUGCUUUGCAUCAACUGGUGAUGGGUCCAUCGUGGUAGGCUCGUUGGAUGGGAAAAUUCGGUUGUACUCAAAGAGCUCUAUGAGGAUGGCGAAGACGGCCUUCCCAGGGCUGGGUUCACCAAUUACUCACGUGGAUGUGACGUACGAUGGGAAGUGGAUACUGGGAACCACUGAUACCUAUCUGGUACUCAUAUGCACCAUUUUCAUUGACAAGGAUGGGAAGGAGAAGACAGGAUUUGGUGGAAGAAUGGGGAACCGAAUUGCUGCACCAAGACUGCUCAAGCUCAGCCCACUCCACUCUCAUCUUGCAGGGGACAACAGCAAGUUUCGUGAGGGCAGGUUUUCAUGGGUCACGGAUAACGGCAAGCAGGAGAGGCAUCUCGUGACGACCGUGGGGAGGUACAGCGUGGUGUGGAACUUCCUCCAGGUGAAGAACAGCCACCAUGAGUGCUACAAGAACCAGGAGGGGCUCAAGAGUUGCUACUGCUACAAAGUGAUCCCCAAGGACGAGUCCAUCGUGGCCAGUCGCUUCAUGCACGAGAAGUACGACGUGAGCGACUGCCCCGAGGCACCUCUGGUCGUCGCGACCCCCAUGAAGGUCACCUCCUUCAGCGUGUCUAGCCAGCGCUAG